rnacentral:rRNA from 1 species
UACGUAGGGUGCGAGCGUUAAUCGGAAUUACUGGGCGUAAAGUGUGCGCAGGUGGCUUCGCAAGUCGAGUGUGAAAUCCCCGGGCUUAACCUGGGAAUUGCGCUCGAAACUACGGAGCUCGAGUGUGGCAGAGGAAGGUGGAAUUCCACGUGUAGCGGUGAAAUGCGUAGAGAUGUGGAGGAACACCAAUGGCGAAGGCAGCCUUCUGGGCCAACACUGACACUCAUGCACGAAAGCGUGGGGAGCAAACAGG